rnacentral:rRNA from 1 species
AAUAUUGCACAAUGGGCGAAAGCCUGAUGCAGCAACGCAGCGUGAGUGAUGAAGGCCUUCGGGGAGUAAAGCACUUUGUUCAGGGAUGAUAAUGACAGUACAUGAAAAACAAGCCACGCCUAACUAAGUGCCAGCAGCCGCGGUAAUACGUACGUGGCGAGCGUUGUCCGGAAUUACGGGGCUUAAAGGGUGCGUAGGUGGAUACUUAAGUGGGAUGUGAAAACCCCGGGCUCCACCCGGGAACGGCAUUCCAAACUGGGUAUCUAGUGUGCAGGAGAGGAAAGCGGACUUCCUAGUUUAGAGAUGAAAUGCGUAGAUAUUUGGGGGAACACCGGUGGCGAAGGCGGCUUUCUGGACUGUAACUGACACUGAGGCAUGAAAGCGUGGGUAGCAAACAGG